ACUCAAAGGAAUUGACGGGGGCCCGCACAAGCGGUGGAGCAUGUGGUUUAAUUCGAUGCAACGCGAAGAACCUUACCAGGUCUUGACAUCCAUAGGAUUUCUGUGAAAGCAGGGAGUGCCUUAGGGAGCUAUGAGACAGGUGGUGCAUGGUUGUCGUCAGCUCGUGUCGUGAGAUGUUGGGUUAAGUCCCGCAACGAGCGCAACCCUUGCUAUUAGUUGCUAACAGGUAAAGCUAGAGCACUCUAAUGGGACUGCCCGUGACAAGCGGGAGGAAGGUGGGGAUGACGUCAAAUCAUCAUGCCCUUUAUGAUCUGGGCUACACACGUGCUACAAUGGGUGGUACAGAGGGAAGCGAAGCUGUGAAGCGGAGCGAAUCUCAAAAAGCCACUCUCAGUUCGGAUUGUAGUCUGCAACUCGACUACAUGAAGUCGGAAUCGCUAGUAAUUGCGAAUCAGCAUGUCGCAGUGAAUGCGUUCCCGGGCCUUGUACACACCGCCCGU
rnacentral:rRNA from 1 species